rnacentral:lncRNA from 1 species
GUCUCCCUAUACAGAAUGUUUCCUGUUCCAGGUUUUUUGGCUCAUUCAUCGCCAGCAAAGAAGAAAAAAGAUACAAUUCUAUAUUUAUUUAAAAUUUAUUAUCACAGAAAAAGAUAAUGAAAGACUUGGUAGUCUGCCACCCAGUUAAUGGUCAUGAUUUAAUACAACAAUAUGUGGAUUUUAUUCCAUAAAGCCUCAGUUAUCAUUGAACAUAAUUAUACAUUUAAUCUCAAUUUCAAUACAAUUAUGUCGUAGUGUAAGAUAUAUCCUCCAGUAUGAGUACAAUCAAAUUAAGGCUCUUAUCAACCAAUAAAUAAUACAUAUUUAUUUUAUAACACAUGCUACUGAUAUACAGACGAUUACAAUGAGAUUAAAACAAAUGCAUACACAUUUUAAUAAAAGCAUAGCCUGAAAACUGUUCAUUACUUUGGGUUAUGUUCACUUGAGUCUAUUAUACCUGGUAUCUUAAAGAAUAUAUAGUAUCAUUUAAGAUUCUAUGAAAAAUCCUCUAAAAUUUAUGAAAAAUCAAAAAGACAUUGAAAUUGACGUUGCUAUAGCAUUUGAAAAGUAUUAUUGACUCUGCAUGAAUAUGUAUUAGGUCAAAGAAACAUAACUCCAGAAAUAAGUAACUAACAAAAUUAUACCUCCAUAUCACAACAUGCCUCACAUCAACUUUGACAAGUGUAUAUUUGGUGAACAACAAAACUCUAACUUGGAAUUCCUUUUAAAGUGUUUGCAUCAUAAUUAUUUGGUGAAUUUACAAGAUUUAAUUUAUCAAAUGUUGUAAAUAGUUUCAAAUUAGGGUGUUUAUUGGAAUUAAUCAUUACAGAGUAUAAAGUCUAUCACUUAUUGUGUUUAUGAUUUCUUUGACCUGGAAAACUACAAAUUAAUAAAAACCAACAAACUAGAGGCUCUCAAGGAAGUACACCACUAAUUCAUGGUCCCAUUGCUUACUUUGUUAAAUUCCUCCAUUUCAAGCAGUCAAACCUCUCUUGUUUUAAGUUCAAAUAAAGUGAAACUUGAAAAAUCAUAAGAUUAUAUUGACCAAGAGCUAUGUUGUACCAUAUACAAGUCAUAAAAUACAUGUUUUAUUGAUUUCAAUCACAAAAAAAUGCAAAAAUAAGAACUUGGAGACAAGUCUUAACUGCAUGCAUGUUGUAUGACCAUAAAAGGCUAAAAUACUUGAGUAUGCCAAUUUAAGAGCUUAAAUUUCCCAUAAACAGGAUGUUUCACCAAAAAAAGAUGAUUAAAUAUAAUUACUAACAGCAAAUUUGACUUAUUUUCAUUGGAAUAGGUACAACUUCUAAAUCAAAAAAUCAAAGAGCUGAAUAGCUCUGAGGGGAAAGACAGCCCUUUUUUUUGGGGGGUGGGGUGGGGGGGGGGAAGGUAUCUUUUGAUAGUCUUCAUAUAAAGAAUAAAAAAAAAACAGCUAGAACAUGUAGAAAGGUUGACAAUAUUGAAGUCAAUUGUUGUUGUUUAAUCUAAUUUUGUUUCCUUGGUUAAGGAUUCAAUUUGGACCAAGAGAUCUGCAUCUUCUAAAUCUAAACUUUCGAUUAAAGUUGAUAGUUAAUUAUGUAAAAUUUAACUGAUUUCUGUCAUUUAACAACAACUUCAAUGUUUUCUGAAAUCUUAAUUGUGUACCACUGAACUGCAGGCUAGACCAUUUUCCAUUUUUUUUUUACAGUACACUGAGAUUUUAAAUUUUUUUCUUAAGAAAGUUAGGACUGAAAAAUCCAUUUAAUCUUAAAUUUCCAUUGACAAAGUUCCCAGUUACAACUCUCAUCACAGAGAUACAGGUACUAAUAAAGAAUAAUAUGAUUGAUGUAAACUGUGUGAAGCUUGUUUCCAGAUCCUACAUUUUGAAAUAUUUGUAAAUUUCAUGAAAAAAAAGGUUUAAACAAUAAAAUGCAACUUCUUUUUAUUUAUUUUUUUUUACCAUUACGAUGAUUUAUUUGUUGGAACACACAAUUUAGUUUUAAUGGAAGACUACUAAUCAUAUACUAAAUGUCACAUUUUCAAGUUUUAUUUUAGUGGAUAAUUACUCAUCAAUUGAGGUGCUCCAGAUUUGGAAGAAGAUUCACAAAACAGAAUUUUACAGAAAAAAGGAGAAAAAAUCGUUUCUCUCCCCAAUCUCAUGUAUCUCCACGAACUUUGUUUACUUUGAAAGUUGUUGACCUACGAAUUAAAGUUUUGCAUGUUGAUGUUUGAAUCAUCUACAGCAAACAUAAUUAUGUUUAAAUUUAACAAAUAACAAUUUAUAAUUAGUGCACGAACUCUGAGAAUGAUUUAAAUAACCAGUGAAGGAUAUCCCUGCUUCUGCAUGGUGUGGCAUUCCAAUAAUGACGUCAUUAUAAAAUAUAAUGUAGGUUGGAUAUAUUUAGAAUAUCUUGUCAUACUGAU